rnacentral:rRNA from 1 species
GCCGUACCUAGCUCAAAAAAAAAAACAAAAUACAACUAGCACUGCCUAAUAAAACAAAACAUUUAAACAGACAUAAAAGUAUAGGAGAUAGAAAUUACAAUAGAAGCUAUAGAGAAAGUACCGCAAGGGAACCAUGAAAGAACUGAACCAAAGCAAUAAACAGCAAAGCUUACCCCUUCUACCUUUUGCAUAAUGAAUUAACUAGACUGCCCUAGCAAAGAGAACUCAAGUUAGCCCCCCCGAAACCAGACGAGCUAUUUACGAACAACUUUACAGAGUAAACUCAUCUAUGUGGCAAAAUAGUGAGAAGAUUCGCAAAUAGAGGUGACAAGCCAAUCGAGCCUGGUGAUAGCUGGUUAUCCAGGAAAAGAAUAUUAGUUCAAAUUUAAAUUUACCUAAAAACCUAGUAAUUAUAAUGUAAAUUUAAAUUAUAGUCUAAAGAGGUACAGCUCUUUAGACAAAGACUACAAUCUUAACUAGAGAGUAAGCAUACAAACUAUCAAAGUUGGCCUAAAAGCAGCCACCAAUUAAGAAAGCGUUCAAGCUCAACAUAACACACUACAUCAAUACCAUAAUUACUAAGCCAACUCCUAAAACAUAACUGGAUUAUUCUAUUAUUACAUAGAAGAAACACUGUUAAUAUGAGUAACAAGAAAAUUUUCUCCAAGCACAUGUGUAUAACAGACCGAAUACUCACUGAUAAUUAACAAAAAGCAAACCCAACCAAACAACAGGACACUUGCCCAACAACUUGUUAGCCCAACACAGGAGUGCACCAUGGAAAGAUUAAAAAGAGUAAAAGGAACUAGGCAAACACGAAUUCCGCCUGUUUACCAAAAACAUCACCUCUAGCAUGCCCAGUAUUAGAGGCACUGCCUGCCCAGUGACAAUAGUUAAACGGCCGCGGUAUCCUGACCGUGCAAAGGUAGCAUAAUCACUUGUUCUUUAAAUAAGGACUUGAAUGAAGGGCCACACGAGAAUUCUACUGUCUCUUACUCUAAAUCAGUGAAAUUGACCUUCCCGUGAAGAGGCGGGAAUGACUAAAUAAGACGAGAAGACCCUAUGGAGCUUUAAUUGCAUGCUCUAUCAGACACUAAAAAUACCCAAAAGGUAUAAAACGCUCUUACUAGCGCAGCAAUUUAGGUUGGGGUGACCUCGGAGUAUAACUCAACCUCCGAGUGAUUUAAAACCUAGACAAACAAGUCAAAGAAACAAAAAUCACUUAUUGAUCCAAAUCAAAUUUGAUCAACGAAAUAAGUUACCCUAGGGAUAACAGCGCAAUCCUAUUUAAGAGCCCCUAUCGACAAUAGGGUUUACGACCUCGAUGUUGGAUCAGGACAUCCUAAUGGUGCAGCAGCUAUUAAUGGUUCGUUUGUUCAACGAUUAAAGUCCUACGUGAUCUGAGUUCAGACCGGAGUAAUCCAGGUCGGUUUCUAUCUAUUUUUUGUCCCUCCCAGUACGAAAGGAUAAGAGAGACGGGGCCAACUUCCCAAAAGCGCCCUCAAGACUAACAGAUGAUACAGUAUGAAUCUGGAGCAUAAAAACUAACCCACCCUAGACCAGGGUUU